UGAAAGGAGAGAGCAAACAAAACAGACAGCCCUGGAAGUGUGACUUUCACUGCAGGCGGUGCGCCCAGCUGGCCCUGUGCUGCUCCAAGAGGUCUUCCGUUGGGGAAAGGAGGCUGUUCACAGCGUGCUGUGCUCAUGGAAUGAACCACAGAACGGCCUGGGUUGAAAAGGCCCACAGUGCUCAUCAGUUCCAACCCCCUGCUGUGUGCAGGGUCGCCAACCAGCAGCCCAGGCUGCCCAGAGCCACAUCCAGCCUGGCCUUGAAUGCCUGCAGGGAUGGGGCACCCACAGCCUCCUUGGGCAGAUGUUGGGCUCACACUGAGGUGUUUGGCUGUGUGCUCCAGGUCAGCACUGUGGCGUAGGUUGUUUUGGUUUGUAUGCAAUGUCCUAACUUUGGUUGUUACUAUUGUUUUUAACUCAAGCUUGCUGGGCCCUGGGCAGCGCACGUGGAAACUGGCAGAGGAGAGCAUCUCCUGGUGGUGGCUCGUUCAUUAGAUCCUGUGCUUCAUGGAAGCUCCAGCCACUGCGUAUACCUGCAAGCAAUAGUAAGAUAGCGUGGAGCUGUGUGCCCAAAACUGCAGCAAUUAUGACGACACACAUUCAUUCUGGGUUCUGCUGAUUACCAUGGUAACCCACAUCCAAAAUAGCAGCAUGAGGCCACGCAGCAGAAGGGAAACGGGGUUUUGUCCCUUAUUAACCGAUGCACGCUAUCAAUUUUAGCAGAGGAAUCCUUAAAAUAGAGGCAUGUCCCUUUUUAGUUGCCGUCGUGUCCCAACACCACAUGUCUGACCUUCCGCUUUGCGUGCGGUGUGCUGUGUAUUUCUAUUGCUGACUAACAGCAGUUGGUGAGGGAGGAUGGUGGCUGCUGCCAGCAGAAUUCCCAGCACCUGAUACCUGAAGAUCGAGCUCAGUGCGUGUUUGCUCUGCCUGGAACACGGGAGUGGAGGCUGCUUUGUUUGUGCUGCAGAGCCUAGCUGAAACCACACAGCGCUCCUCUUGCAAAGAGGCUCUUGAAAUACUUGGAUUUGCCCCAGCUUUGCUUAAUGAAUGACACAGGUGAAGCAUAAAGCUGUUUUCCCAUGGUGCAUGUAGUCGGCGGUGCCACUUCCUUGCUCCAUAUCCACAUAGAGCCCUUGCUCAAGGGGCUUAUGAGUGCACUGCCUGUAUGGCAAAGUACCUGUGAGGAUAAUGCCGGCACCCGAGGGCACCCUGAGGCUGUUUGCUGUUUGUGGUUGGCAAACCAUGCCCAUGGCUCUUGCUACAAUAAAAGCUUUUCUGGAA
rnacentral:lncRNA from 1 species